CCUGGCUCAGGAUGAACGCUAGCUACAGGCUUAACACAUGCAAGUCGAGGGGCAGCAUGGUCUUAGCUUGCUAAGGCCGAUGGCGACUGGCGCACGGGUGAGUAACGCGUAUGCAACUUGCCUAUCAGAGGGGGAUAACCCGGCGAAAGUCGGACUAAUACCGCAUGAAGCAGGGAUCCCGCAUGGGAAUAUUUGCUAAAGAUUCAUCGCUGAUAGAUAGG
rnacentral:rRNA from 1 species